UAGGGAAUCUUCCGCAAUGGGCGAAAGCCUGACGGAGCAACGCCGCGUGAGUGAUGAAGGUCUUCGGAUCGUAAAACUCUGUUAUUAGGGAAGAACAAAUGUGUAAGUAACUAUGCACGUCUUGACGGUACCUAAUCAGAAAGCCACGGCUAACUACGUGCCAGCAGCCGCGGUAAUACGUAGGUGGCAAGCGUUAUCCGGAAUUAUUGGGCGUAAAGCGCGCGUAGGCGGUUUUUUAAGUCUGAUGUGAAAGCCCACGGCUCAACCGUGGAGGGUCAUUGGAAACUGGAAAACUUGAGUGCAGAAGAGGAAAGAGGAAUUCCAUGUGUAGCGGUGAAAUGCGCAGAGAUAUGGAGGAACACCAGUGGCGAAGGCGACUUUCUGGUCUGUAACUGACGCUGAUGUGCGAAAGCGUGGGGAUCAAACAGG
rnacentral:rRNA from 1 species